AUUGAACGCUGGCGGCAGGCCUAACACAUGCAAGUCGAGCGGCAGCGGGAGAAAGCUUGCUUUCUUGCCGGCGAGCGGCGGACGGGUGGGUAAGGGAUGGGGAUCUGGCCGAAGGCGGGGGAUAACCAAUGGAAACGGUCGCUAAUACCGCAUAAUCUCUGAGGAGCAAAGGGGGGGACCAUCUGGCCCCACACCCUCGGAUUAAGCCAUAUGGGAUUAGCUAGUAGGUGGGGUAAACGCUCACCUAGGCGACGAUCUUUAGCUGGUCUGAGAGGAUGAUCAGCCACACUGGGACUGAGACACGGCCCAGACUCCUACGGGAGGCAGCAGUGGGGAAUAUUGCACAAUGGGCGCAAGCCUGAUGCAGCCAUGCCGCGUGUAUGAAGAAGGCCUUCGGGUUGUAAAGUACUUUCAGUCGUGAGGAAGGUGUUAAGGUUAAUAGUCUUAGCAAUUGACGUUAGCGACAGAAGAAGCACCGGCUAACUCCGUGCCAGCCGCCGCCGUAA
rnacentral:rRNA from 1 species